AUGAACGCUGGCGGCGUGCCUAAUACAUGCAAGUCGAGCGAACAGAUGAGGAGCUUGCUCCUCUGACGUUAGCGGCGGACGGGUGAGUAACACGUGGAUAACCUACCUAUAAGACUGGGAUAACUUCGGGAAACCGGAGCUAAUACCGGAUAAUAUAUUGAACCGCAUGGUUCAAUAGUGAAAGACGGUUUUGCUGUCACUUAUAGAUGGAUCCGCGCCGCAUUAGCUAGUUGGUAAGGUAACGGCUUACCAAGGCAACGAUGCGUAGCCGACCUGAGAGGGGGAUCGGCCACGCUGGAACUGAGACACGGUCCAGACUCCUACGGGAGGCAGCAGUAGGGAAUCUUCCGCAAUGGGCGAAAGCUUGACGGAGCAACGCCGCGUGAGUGAUGAAGGUCUUCGGAUCGUAAAACUCUGUUAUUAGGGAAGAACAAAUGUGUAAGUAACUAUGCACAUCUUGACGGUACCUAAUCAGAAAGCCACGGCUAACUACG
rnacentral:rRNA from 1 species